GAUGAACGCUGGCGGCGUGCCUAACACAUGCAAGUCGAGCGAUUCUCUUCGGAGAAGAGCGGCGGACGGGUGAGUAACGCGUGGGCAACCUGCCCUGUACACACGGAUAACAUACCGAAAGGUAUGCUAAUACGAGAUAAUAUGCUUUUAUCGCAUGGUAGAAGUAUCAAAGCUUUUGCGGUACAGGAUGGACCCGCGUCUGAUUAGCUAGUUGGUAAGGUAACGGCUUACCAAGGCGACGAUCAGUAGCCGACCUGAGAGGGUGAUCGGCCACAUUGGAACUGAGACACGGUCCAAACUCCUACGGGAGGCAGCAGUGGGGAAUAUUGCACAAUGGGCGAAAGCCUGAUGCAGCAACGCCGCGUGGGCGAUGAAGGCCUUCGGGUCGUAAAGCUCUGUCCUCAAGGAAGAUAAUGACGGUACUUGAGGAGGAAGCCCCGGCUAACUACGUGCCAGCCGCCGCAGUAAAAC
rnacentral:rRNA from 1 species